AUAGAGCAACAGCUUCUAUGCAGCUUUUAGUUGGCCCCGAUUAAUCUUCUGCUUCCGCCAAGAAUGGAAAGAUUAUCGGGGUUUCGUUUU
rnacentral:antisense_RNA from 1 species